rnacentral:lncRNA from 1 species
UUUUUUUUUGUAUGUGCAUCAAGCAAAGCUCAACAUUUGUGGCAGUGAAGGUAACUUUUAUAUUGUCUUAACCAAUAUACAUGGUAACUUUCAUAAAUUUCCUUCCUUUAGCACGGUGGGUUUCAUUGUGAACGAAGUCCUCCUCUGAAACUUUAAAGGUAAGUUUGGAAACUUCCAGGGUUUAUUUGAAAAACUUAUUUAACUUGUAUGGUGUUUUCUAUAUAUAUAUUAAAAUAAAUUACUAUACGAUGGUUACCUACUUACCUUGAAACGAAAGCGUAAUUUCCCCCCACCUUCGUUUCGUGAUGUUUUUCUAUUAACAUGGAGGCGAGCUGCCACAACCCCUCUGCAGGACUUCACACCACUGACUCCUUGUCGCCGCCGCUAAGCCCCAUCGCCAUGGUGAGUGCCGCACCCUCGUCCCCUGCCUCCAGAACAGCAAGAUCGUCCACUGCCGGUAGCUCAGCCAGGAUCACACGCCUCUGCCUCUUGAUUCUGCUCUUGAAUUGCUGCGGGGCCAUAUACCACUCCCGGCACGAUCCGGGGUCCGUGGCGUUCGUGGCGGCGUCCUUCACCGACCUGGCGCUGCUGCUCUACUUGCUCCCCCGCUUUGAAGGCUCGCCGCUGGGGUCGCGCGCGAGGAGCCGCGCGAAGGCUGGCGUGUGGAUCCUCUCCUCGAUUUUGACCGUGAUGUUCUCCUGCAAGGUAGGAGCGCUCAUGCCGUUGGCGGCGGCCAUCGCCGUUUGGACCAUGGGCAUGGCAACAGUGCUCGGCGGAUUCUUUAUGCUCUUCCUCUGUGGAGAGGCAGAGCAAGUCAACAGCGACGACGAGCCUCUCAAAGCCGCCGAGGAUGGAGCGAACAAGCAGCAUGAGCAGCCUCCCAAAGCCGCUUUGGAUGGGGCCAACAAGCAGCACGGUCGAGGGGAUCCUGAUUUACACCAGCCAAUACUGUCUUGUUGAGUGCACUGGAUUACUCGUGCAUACUGACUUAGCUGCUCAUGUGUCUGUGUACCCACAUAUUGUCAUCAAUAAAAGAUCUGUACCAGUUUAUCGAUUGCGUUACCUCAUAUGUAGUUCUUCUGCCACAUUUCCCCCUCUUUUUCCUCGUAAUUUGUUUGCUGUGGUUAUUUGAUGAGCCACCUGUGUUUGCGGGUCCAUUGAUCUGUUUGAUCAGCCACCCAGUGUUCGUGGUCUGUUCGUUUGAUCGGGAACCUAUGUUUGGUAAUCUGCGCUGUAAUUCUGCCCUUAUCAGCUAUAUAUAUGCAAUCCUUUGUUUUUAUCUUGAUACAUCAUCCCCUUUCUGGGCUUAACUGAGCCUAUCAAACGCAUGAUGGUGUGUGUGGCCUUUCUCCAGUUUCCUCUGCUUGUUAUCACAUGAAACACAGACAAUAACGACGCCGUCGAACUGGGCAGCCAUGGCCAGCCAUGCGCAUCGGCGCAUCAAGAUAGGAUGACGUUCAUGCUGACGACUACUGGACAAAAGUCGGAAAUUGCUAGGAAGAAGCAAUAUUUGUUCCAUCGGUGAACGCCACCUGUGCCGACUAAUCAGAAACCGGCAGCGGACAAGUGGAGGCAACAAACCGCGGGGUUGACAAAGACUAUUCAGACCCUGUUCACCAGACCUGCACGAGAUGACUGGUGGAUGACCUACCUCCUCAAGUAAGCGCCCCAUCAAGCAAGCAAGGCAGUGCCAACCCCUGCGGGGUAGGGAAGGGAAAAAAAAAACAAAAAAAGGAGCAGUAAACAAAAGUAGAUCCAAACAUAUGGGCGCGGCAUGACCAGCGUCCCUGCAACUCUAUUGUUCAUAUAUACAAAACGACCUUAAUUAUCCAUAUGCAAAGGUUGUUUUUGUAAUACAGUAUUUGGUCGCAUCGAAGCCUAAGCAAAUCACCCCCACCCGGCUCCCUCCGAUCACAUUCCUAGCAUAAGUAUUCUUGUUCAGUGCAUACCAAACUCAAAUUUUGUCACAGCAACCCUUGAUCCAAUCCAAAAGAUACCAAGUUAAAGAGUAUAAGCUAUGUACGCUUAUCAUUUCGUUAAGGUGCCCUAAUAUAGUACUGUAAUAUCUAUUUCUGAUUCCUUUCUACUGCACCAUGUGCUCCAUAACCAGUUUGCUAUUUUGUGUAAAGAAGAAAAUGCUUUUUAAAAUCUUUCUGCAGCCAAGCUUCAUUCAAAGAGCUGACUGGCAAACAUGUCAACAUAGGCCAUUAUGUAUUGUCAGAUAUUUAAGAAAAAUACCACAUUGAAGUCACCAAUUAUGUCCUCCGUAAUCAGUAUAGCAACGAUAGAGAGAACCGUUUAAUCUAUAAUAGUAGUAAUAGUAACAGUGGAAAAGAUAGAAAAAAUAAUUCCUAAAACAAUGAAAGUGUGAUAGACAUCGCAGCGUCAAUGAGUCAUGGUUCAAAUAUGACAGCUUCACAGGAAGGGUCAGUAUCAUUAUAUCAAUUGAGGCAAACAGGGUCAUGGAGGAUAAGCUGAAACCAACACUCGCUGAGAAGAGUUGAACACAAUUACACAACAAACUGGAUAUAUGGCUGUAAAUCGUCAGAUUAGCAACACUAUAUAAAGGACAUUGUGUUAACGCCAAGGUAAGGGAUGCACAGUGCUCACUCAAUGCACACACUCGAAGUUAACAAUGAUAACCAGGAGUCCAGUUGUCCUCCUCCAGUCAAUUAGUUACAGUAUUUUAAAAGAGUUCCAAACAGUUAGUGCUGUAACCACUGAUCAGAUCAUUUGUUGUAAGCCAUCGUACUUUUCAUCGUACUUUUCCUUAACUGGGGGAUUGAAGAAUCAAUGACCACGUGAAACCUGAUGUGAUGAAGGGUACAUCUAAUCAUAAUAAAAGAAAAUUGAAGUGUUUGCUAAAUCAGGUAAAAUGGCGUUUUCAAACUGCUUGAAAACUAACGGAUAACCAACCACUUGCAGAGCAGAGUACACUGACGCGUGCAGAAAACUUAUCAGAAGUCAUCUGGCUUGUGACAUCAGUUAGCCAAUCUAUCCCUACACGAUUAUUAUUCAUCAAAACUUCAUAGCUGCUCACACAGGGGAAAGAAUUCGGCCUCCUCCGGUAAGGCACCAAGCCAGUAAUUCGAAGAAUGUGAAAUGUCACAGCCACAGGUGUUCCAAUUGAAGAACAAGCAAAACUCACUGUAUGAUCAGACAAUUGCAGAUUUCUUGAAACUACUGAAGCAAACACGAAUCUACUACGAAAAUAAAACUAGUUGAGAAAUAUCCUGGCGCAAUUACGAGCUCAUGACAAAGCUAAAACAAUGCAAUUUGAUCGCCUCACAAGCAAAGCAAGGAACAGAGUCGAUCCUUCGCCCCCCCCCCCCCCCCCCCCCCCCCGCCCCCCACAAACACCCCCCAAAAAAAAAAAACCUGCGCAGCAAAUCGUGCCAUCCAAAUCCAAAAAUAAUCAAGGAGACAAGUGGAAAAUAACAAGGAACGCAAGGAUCUAUAUCACGCGGGAUGAACCAGCAUCACUUGAUCGGAACCCCCCCGUCGCAUAGACACAAAGCGACGAACACUCCAGAUCGCAUGAGAAAGAGAUCAAAAUCGCCGAGCAACCAACAUUAAACAGCCGAAAUCUGAAGUGGGAGAUGUUCGAUCCGCACGCACCUGCAUGGAGCAGGCAGCACGAACGAAUAGCGGUUGCCCAUCACCUGAUCCCCACGAGUCCACGCCCUGUGGCGGAGAGCGGAGGGGGUGCAGCGGGCGACUUGCGCUUGAGCCCAUCGCAUCCAGACACAUCCAACCUCCACGCCAGGAUUCUUCCCACCCCUACUCCAGAGGCUCAGAUCCGCUGCGUUUCGAGGAGAGGCGGGUUCGUUUGGCGAAGAAAGGCGCGGAUAUUAAAUCCUAGAAAAAGUUCAUCCUGGCUGCCUGCUCUGGAAGAGUGGAAGGUACGUCCUCUGGCAGCGCAGGCAGCGUCACCAAUAAGGCUAAGGUCCUGUUUGUAUACGCUUUUCCCAGCCACGCUUAGAUUAUAAUCUAAGCGAAGAUUUUCUCGCUUCUCGCUUCUCGUAGUUCAAAUCGUUGAAGCGGCUUACCACAUAAGCGAGAAUCGGUGGAAAUAAGCAAAGCGUUUGGCGGGAUUCUCGCUUAUUUCCACCGAUAAGCCGCUUAUAAGCGGAUACAAACGGGGCCUAAGGCUAGUCCCAGUGCAAGGUUUCAUUGCACUGUUUCCAAAGAUGCCACAUCAUCCCAUGAGGUGUAUUCUCAUGAAUGAAACAGGGAGUCCCAGUGCACAGUUUCAUUUCACGAUUACAUAGAAUGCCCAUGACAUUUAAUUGUGAGGCAUGUGAUUGGAUAGGGUUAGAUGAAAUGAAACUCUAUAGCCCCCAAUGCAAGUUUCAAUAGGUUUCAUAGUCUUGGAAACAGUGUAUACACAGUUUCAUCCUGAUGAAACUCCUUCCCUCUCUCACUUUAUAACUACCAUGCCAUGUCAUCACAUAUGCUGAUGUGUCACUGUAUUUAAUGUGCAUGAAACCUCUAUGAAACUCCCACUGGGAUUAGCCUAAGGGCGUGUUGGAUCCUCGGCUAAAGUUCAGCACUCAUCACAUCAAAUACUGAGAUGCUAAUUAAAAGAAUUAAAUAUGAUCUAGGGGUGUUUGGUUCCCUAUACUUAUUUUUAGCACGUGUCACAUCGAAUGUUUAGAUACUAAUUAGGAGUAUUAAAUGUAGACUAUUUACAAAACCCAUUACAUAAGUGGAGGCUAAACGGCGAGAUGAAUCUAUUAAGCCUAAUUAAUUCAUCAUUAGCAAAUGUUUACUGUAGCAACAAAUUGUCAAAUCAUGGACUAAUUAGGCUUAAUAGAUUCGUCUCGCCGUUUAGCCUCCACUUAUGUAAUGGGUUUUGUAAAUUGUCUACAUUUAAUACUCCUAAUUAGUAUCUAAAUAUUCGAUGUGACGGGUGCUAAAAAUAAGCAACCAGAACCAAACCAGGCCCUAAUUAUAAAAUUAAUUGCAGAAGUCCUCGGCUAAUUCGUGAGACGAAUCUACUAAGCCUAAUUAAUUUUGUAAUUAGAAGGGCUAAAUAUGAGCGAAUUAGCCUCUAUAUGUGCAAUUAGUUUUGUAAUUAGCUUAUAUUUAAUACUUUUAAUUAGUAUCAAACAUCCGAUGUGACAGGGCUAAAGUUUAGCAUCUAGUAUCCAAACACAGGCUAAAUUGGAUCUAUACCAUCGAAAAAACCAUUCUAUAUAUACUAGCAAAAGAUUGAACUUUAGAUAUAUAUCAUUAAAAGAUCACAUUUGUUAGCAGCUUACCAUUCUGUCAUCUCCAUGUUAACUCUGACCAUUCUACCCUUCCUAAUAGGCUAAGACAAGAUAUGCCCUUCCAUUCUAGAAUGGCUAUUUCUUGCAUUGUAUAAAUCUUCUCAAUGAUUUUAAUAUUAUCCAUCAAAUUAGGAAGGUCUUUGUAUUGUUUAAUUCAACAUUCUUCUCAGUAAGUUCAGUAGAAACAGGAAGCUCAGGAGCAGAGAGUAGUGGUAGGUCGGGUGAACGAAUGGGGAUUCGUCGGCGGCGACGGAGGCAGCAAUGUUGGCCUUCGUCGAAUCGUGGUUGGCCAUUUCCACAAGACGUGAUCAAUGUCAUCACGUUCCAGCAACAGGUGCUACUGUGGGUGCAUCUCCUCCCUCAUCUCCCCUCCAUUAGACCAUCGUGCCACCGGCCGCCACCAAGACAUCGUGGCAUUCGGCGCCUCUACUACUUUAGCUGGCCGGUCUCUCGAGCUCUACCAGGGCUCAUCACGUAUGCCAAUAUAGCAGAAAGAAUGGAUCAUAGCUUUUAUAUUUGGCGUUGCUAGCGCUCGGACAUCUGACGGGAAAACUUCCCAUCGGAUGCUCCGUUGGUCCAUCGCAACAUCAAAAAAUAACAUCUGCAACAUAGAAAAUAAAUGUUUGCAACAUAGAAAAUCACCGUCUACAACAUCAAAAAAUAUGUUGAAAAAAAUUUAUUAGCCAUCUGUUGAUGAUGAGGAAAAAAAAGACCUGCCGCAACAUCUGUUUCGUGUUGCAUGGAACAUUCAAAUCUCUCAUUGAAAAUGCAACAUACAGAUAAAACACUUGCAACAUGUGUGUGAAACAUAUGCAACAUCGCAACAUCUAGAUCUACUUUGCAACAUUCACAUGAAACACUUGCAACAUUAUUCUGAAAAAUCUGAAAUACUUGAAACAUACGCUUGCAACAUGCAGCAAGGCCUGGCAAGAGGAGCACUGCACAGUGGGAUCCGAAGCUAGAAAACGGUGGUGGAGGAGGAGGAUGGCGGGCCGACGCGGCUCGCCCCUAACCGCGGGGGAGCGGUGCUCGGCACCCUUCCCCAUGGAGCUCCUCAGGCGGCCAAGCCCAUUGUUGGUGGCGCCACCACAUCGCUCGCCACAGAUCGCAUAGGCCACCGCCAUUGCCGAGCUAGAACUCCACCCCGUAUGGGGAUCUCAUUGUCACCAUCGGCAACCUUGCUUGGAUGAGGGUCGUGUGCAGAGGGGCCACACCACCGCAGCUCAGACAAGAGCUCAUCUGGAUUGGAAGCAAGGGAGAGAGAUAGGAGAGAUAAAUGAGUGGUUGAAGCUCGAGCUCCAUUGGUUGCAGUCUUGCAGGUUGCAGCACUUAGCGAGCAGGGAGAAAGAAUAGGGGAUUUGGUUGCUUGGUGGCUGUGUUGGAAUGGAUAAGAGUCAACGGGCAGGAAUAAAAAUGACUGGACGUGAACUCGCUGUUAAUUGUAUUGGAAAAAAGUUUCGAGUCUGUCAAUGUCCGUUCGAUAUUUUUACUCUCAUCCGACGUAUAUAUUAUACCAUUACCGUUUACAUUUCCAUCCAGCUACCAGCAAGCAUGCAGCAGCCCCUGCUAUGGGUGCAUCGACGGGUACUGGAGGCGAGCUCACCCAAGCAACCGCCCCAGCUCGCCAAAAGGGUGGGAACGCCCCUGCCGCGGCACAUGCGACCAGCAGUGCAGCACCCGCCAGAGUUACGAGCGGCAGAGGCCAUCGGGGCUCGGGGGAUCGUCGCUAGGGAGAAGGCACCUGUAGUUUUGGGUGGAGGGUAAAAUUGGAAUACUGUAAAUCUUUAAUCGGCAAAAAUAGAGAGAACCAAGCGAUUCCAUCGACGGAAGGUAACUUGUAAUCUUUUGAUGCUAAAUAUCUAAAGUAGAAUCUUUUGAUCGUAUAGAUCCAAUUUCCUCCACCAAUAAAAGAAAAUCUUCGCGUGGGAGGCGCCGAGGCGCGCAGGUGCUGCCAGAUUAUAUAGCUCGACACAACACCGUCAAAAACUCAAAAUACUCAAGCAUGAACCCUUAAAGUGUAUUUUACAUGGUCUAAAUUGAUAUUAUAUGAUACUAAAUUAUUGUUAAACUAAAGUGGAGAUAAUAAAUGCACUAAUUUAGUUUUAAUUUGCACCAAAUGAAAUAUGAAGGAUGAAUGUCACAUUUUUGCGAUACGGAUGAAAAAUACACUUUUUUUUUUCAAAAAAGAAAAGAAAAGGAAACAGCACAAGUUAUUGCCCGAAGGCCGAGACUAAGCAGCGGGCCCAAGUUGUUGGGUUCCAUAUGGCAAUUAACCAGAAUUUCAUCCCAUGGCGGCCCAUGGGCCUUGCUUGUUCACAUUUGACGGCACUUCACUUUCGUGUGCUUUUGACUAUUUUUGACUGAAGUAUAAUAGUUCAGCUUUCUCUCUCCUUUGAACCGAUUGAAAGACUUCUCUCUCCUUUGAAUCGGCAUAAAGCAGGGAUUCCACACGCACUUUAAACACUAGGUCGAGUUUUUUCUUUUACCCCGCAUUUUAGCAAAUUGGGUGGACAAACAUUCGUUAGGUCAUCUUAUCUCGUUAUACCUGAUAUAACUCAUUCAGGUUCCUGCACACUUCAUACCUUGGUGAUAUUUGCACAUUCCAAUCUGGGAAUAUAUCUAGUGAAAAUAAUUAACUAAACAACUAUGCAAGGAAAAAUCGCAGCUGAAUGGGUAUUCUGUUUGCCUGUUUGGGUGCGUGACAUUGUAGCGGAUGUACCAUGACUGGGAACAUGAUAUAAUCUAGCAACCGUAUUGACCGUCCGUCGCUUGCCUAGUCUCUAUAUUGUGUUAGCCUUUCUGUCACCGUUUGUCCCUAGGCUGCCCACGACCGGAUGCGUCUAUAGGUGUGUUUGGAUCCCAUAGCUACCAUAGCUAAUAUAUAAAGUGCUAAAGUUUAACACCUUUAUACAUUAGCCUAUCCAAAUAGAAGAGCUAAUAUGAGGACUAAACUUUAGCCUACCCUCAAAAAAUGUAAAAGCAUUAGCUGGUGGGAAGGAGCUAAUGAGUGCUAAUAGCUUGUGAAAAGACAAAAAGGGGAGAGAGAAAGGGAGGAGGUGACGAGAUAAAAGGGCAAAAGUGACUUUUCAUAAACUUUAGAUCUAUCCAUUAGUCAUAUUUUCUAACGGGAGUGCUAAUGGGUGGAAAUGCUAAACUUUAGCAAUAGCGCAUCCAAACAGGCCCUAUGCGUCACAGACGCGCAGUUGAAAGCCACAAUUGUUGAUGGCAGUUAGCGCGCCAAUUGGUGAACCACAAGCACAAGGAUCAAUUAUAGCUUUUUCCUUAGAGUAUCCCCAAGGUUUAUCAAUCCGUGGAACAAGUGGAUUGAUGACUUUCACUUUAUACUAAUCUUACUAACAAAAUCAGGCAAUAUGGGUUGUGUAGAGAAACAAACUAAUCUAAACUAAAUAAGGAGCCAAGAUUGAUACAAUAAAGAUAACAGAGAUAGAUAUGCAUUCCAUCCCUAUGAUCUAGGUUCACAUGAAUAUGCAUCUACUACACAAAUGGGUGUUGCCUUCGCUAGCUAUCACAGAGAUUAUGUGCUCGCUCAGCUCUUUCCCUCCUCCGUACCAUCACUACACAGGGAUAAUCAACAAUCUUACUCACACAUCUGUAUUUUCCGCAGAGUUAAGCUAAUCACUACGAUUACCACAAACUCUACCAAGGACAUACGAAGCGCUCACAUAUGUAAAUAAAGUAUUGCAAUGCCAUAGACCAUGAAGCAUUGAUAUGCAUAAUGUACAUGUAGCAGUUACAUAUCAAGGAUCCAAAUAAUCCUAGGGAUGAAUAGAGGCUUUACCCCAUCAUCUUACAAAGAUCGAUGCACAAAGGGGUGAUGGAGACUCUGGAGAACGUCGUCACUGAAGAUGGCGAUGAGGGGGUGCAGGAACACCCUAGGCCGAUUGGCCUAGGGCUCCUCUGGUCGAGGCUUCUUUGCGCCUCCUAACUUUCGCCGGCGUUGGUCGUUAAGGUGAUCUGAUCUAAUCUCUGUUUCUCAUCUUGUGGCGGCGGUGGUUAGGUCUAAACUCAUCGGGUUGUGUUCCUUGUUGAAUGUCUUGGGUAUUUAUAUUUGGUGGCAUCGGUUAGGGUGCCUUCGAGGCGAAGCAUCUGGAGAAAAACCCUAGGAAUAUCGUGGGCUUCCUCCUGAUGAAAGGGGAGGUCAAUCGGGGCCGAAAACGGACUAGGCCAAUUGGCCUGGAUCCCCAUAGGUCGAUCAGCCUACCCUCUUUUAGCCUCCAAUGCCCGAGCGCUUCAUAUGAAAGUUGUAGAUUUUUUUGAGGCAUGCAAUUUUUCCUGUAAAUUCAUCCCAAUUAGAGUUCGGAGAAGGAAGGUACACCCUGUGCAAGUUCAGCUCCUCCUGCGAGCCUGCAGUUUAAUGUUCGUGUUUGAGCCUUCCAAUAUCCAAAGUUUGGACCCAAAUCCAACUUGUAGAGAAACCCUUCAUUUAUGUUGUAUUUCAUAUGAUUUUUGCAAUAUGGUUCAAAACACAACACAUAGGCGAAUAUGGGAUUUUUUCAGGUGCCAAGUGGCGGGUUAGUAUAAGAAUAAGUCUAAAAAUACCACUUAAAUGGUACCAAAAAGGUAUCACUAACGAGCGUCAACAACAGUGUCGCCUUCAGUGAGCACACGGCCCAAGACUGUCGUUGGCCCACGACGGCAGCCGGCCUAUCCCCAUGCCACUACCACCUUCCUCACCCCGCACGCCCCCGUGCCGCCCACAUACAUCGUCUCCGGCGACUCCCGUCGCCGGCGAUCCUCCCCCUCCCCCCACGUGCUAACUUGGCUCCCCCGCUGCCUUCCUCCUCCGGCUCCGCCGCCACCACCCUCCGCUGCCCUAACUCGGCUCCGCCAAGGAGCUCACCUCCAACCUUCGCGCCCACCCAUACCUAGCUCACCGGCUGUCGACCCGCCGUCCCCGGCCGGCGGCGUCCCCGCUGCUGUGUUGCGCUGCCUCGCAACCCGCCUCCUCCGCGGACCUCCCUACCCCCCAUCCCCCCUUUUCUAAGGCCGGCAGCCAUGAACCUCCCCCUGACAGCCCCGAACCACCAAAACGCAAAAAACCUAACCCGAGUGCUCAUCGGCAGGACACCCCCGCGCCGCACCACCUUGAAGCUCUAACCCGGCGGCGGCGGCGUGCUAACAGGAGAGGAGGAAGCCGGGGGAGUCAAACGGAAGGAGAGGAGGAAGAGAGAGCUGAUAGGUAGACCCUGCAUAUGUGACAGAUUGACCUAUAGUCAUGGCGCCCACGACCACCCUAACCUAACUACAUCUGGAACGUCGCUAUAGCACCUCUGCCACCUCUGUGACUACCAACGACCCUCCAUCGCCCAUAGCUAGUUGCUCUUGUUUUCCUAUCCACAACUCAUCGUAUGCUGGCUACCCUGUGGCACAAUGAUAUCCCUCUCAAGCUCAAGCGAUUCAUCCCCAAAUGCAAAACCCUAGCACCCAAAUCUGAAGCUUAACCCUACUAAAGGUGAGGCACAAUGAUAACAAGUGCUGAGGGAGAAGGACAACUGGACAAGCAUACGAGGAAGAAGACAACUCCGACGUGUGAGGCACACAUGCCGGCUUCUAUCGCCUCCGUGAGGGUGACAUGAGUGGCAUAUAGAUAUCUUAUUCCUUUAACUGAAGCGGAUAGUGCCACAGAUUAAAUUAUCUAUAGGUAUGUGAACAAAUAAAAAGAAAAAUAUUUCCCAAAGUGCUCAGGUUAAACCCAUAUGAAAAUUACCUACACUCACUUGGGAACUGUAAUGCCUAUCUUCCCAUGUAAAGUUCCAACAAACCUUUUUCUUUUUCAGAAUGCACCAAAAAAGUAUCAUUUAGUUUUGUCGUUAGUCAAACGAUAUUAAGUGUAUAACCAAAUUUAUAGAGAAGAGUAUCAACAUAUGUGAGAUUAAAUGCAUGUGUUAAUUUUAAGAUAGUGUGACUUGAACUAAAAUUGAAGUAUACUCUUUUUACAAUAAUGGAUGGAAUGGUAGUCAUAAUACGAACACUACUGCAAAACAGUGCAUCACCUGAUGGUCCCAAAAACCUGCAUCACCAUCGGCGGAUAUAGGUCGGCGGUGAUGCCUAUUAAAAAAAUAAAAAAAGAAUCCCUAGCCGCACCCUGCUUGCCCAUACAUGCCGCUUGCUGCAGUACCCAGGGGGAGAGAUAGAGCGCUAUAGUCCCGUGCUACUGGAGCCCGCGCCCACAGCCACAUCCCUCGUCCGUCGGCCGCCGGAUCCCCAUCUCACCGUGCUCGCACCCGCAAUCAUCACCGUCGUAGCUAGCUCGCGCCCGCUAGCCGCUAGAUCCCCACCUCACCACGUGCCCCCGGCCACCGGAUCCCUACCUCAUCAUGCGCCCUCGGAGCCCCACCUUGCCACCCACCGUCGAAGCCCCACCUCGUUGCUCCAAAUCUUGCCCCAUCGCUCCUCACCCCCGCUGCCACUUCUCAUAGCCCCGCCGCCGCCGCCGCUAGCGAGGGGCAAGCGGAGGGGGGAGCGGAGGGGAGGCAUACGAAGGUGGCGGAUUUGCACAACGGCUAGCAGAAAGAGAGGGAGGGAGGAGAGGGGAGGGAGGGAGAGCGGGAGAGUGGGAGGGAGAGCGCGCGGGGGGGGGGGGGGAGUGAGCAACCUCUAGAUGAGGGGGAGAUAUAGAAGUGGCGUGAGGGAGAGAGGAGGAGGGAGGCUAGUAGAGGAAGGGAGAAGGCAACGGACCUGAGAUGCAUGAUUUAAGUGGAUCGAAGUGUUUUUCCAAGUCCACGUCCUGUUUUACUAUUGGUUGGUGUUAAAAUCCGAUGGUGAUAGUAUCAUUGUCAGUUUUAGCUACCAAUCGACGGUGAGAAGGAGCAUCACCGCCGAUUUAAAUGCCACUGCCCCUACUUGCUCCUAAACCGACGGCGAAAGUCCGUUGGUAAUAGCUUGUUCUGUAGUAGUGGAAAUGUUUGCUUUUUAGGUUGAAGGAAGUUCGACCUCCAUCCUAAAUUAUAGGUCGUUUUGACUUUUCUAAGUUUAUUGCUUUUGCUAUGUAUCUAAAUAUAUAAUAUGAACUUUAAAAUGCCAAAAUGACCUAUAAUUUGGGACGGAGGGAGUACGAUAAUUAGUAGCAGAAAAUCAGGUGUGGGGGCAACUACUUAACAUCUUCACCAUAAAACAAAACGCUAAGAGGCCAGCUUGAGAUAUUACAGCCAUGUUAAUUUUCGAUGUUGAGCGGAUUGAUUAAGAUAAUGUAUACUUGGAUGUGUCUACGCUAUACGUAGUCAGUAUGUCCAUCUGCGCUAACUUGCUGUGCUUAAUCAUCAAGGACCGAAUUGAUGCAUCCCGGCGACAAAGAAGCGGCCAGAGGCGGCGUCUUGGGUGGCGUAGUAGAUGGUGCCGGGGCUAACGUGGUUGUGCACCCCCUCGUACAUGGUCACAACAUAGCUCGGGUCGUCCUUGUCUCGCUCUACCCUCUUCUUGACGUUGCAGCCCUCCGUCGAGCACCGGUAAUAGUUCCUGUAAUCAACGAUUGAUUUGAAGGCUCGUCAGUCCGGCCGGCAGUUCCAAACAAACUUUCAAUCCAUCGUAAAUUCUUCCUCUUCAUCCAUUUUCUCUUGGCAUAUUCAAAUUGACAUACACUACAAAUUAGCAGUGUAUAUAUAGUAGCUGCCUUUUGUUCCCAUUUAAACAUGUACCUCGGAUUAGGGCUGUUCUUUACGGACUUCUUGCCGUACUUCCUCCACUUGUAGCCGUCGUCGAGUACCUCCUCCUCCGACCUCAUCCGGAACGCGAUCCUGUCCGUCGUCCUCGGCGUCGACCCCUCCCCCGCCACGGCGGCCGUACCCCUGAAAAAUGUCCAGGUUCACGAACCGGCUGGUCAAAACGUGCACGUGCCCAUGCUUUGCGACUCAACCGAGAUGCACCCAGAAGAAGAAGAAAGUUCUCUAGCAGUAGCUGUACCACGCCAGUGCACCAAGUGUCUAGUCUAGACAUGCGCGAAACUCACCUAGCAUGAGCGUAGCCCGAGGCAUCCGGCACGACCGGCAUCCGCGGUGGCGGCGGCGGCGGCGUCCCGAACGUGCCAGGCACUACAACCGACGAGACGCCGUCGUCCGACAGGCACUCCAAGGCGUCGGGCUGCCGCUGCUGCGGCGCCAGGUCGGCGGGGGCCGCGCCGAACGCAGGCCGAAGGAAAGCUGCCGCGGGGCUACCAGCGCCGCCGUAGAAGGUGGAUGCCAAGCCACCGUCGCACGGGUUGCGAUACGCCAUGUCUAGGAAGACGGCGUCGGCGAGGGAGUUGCAGGAGGCUAGCGCCAUGUGCAUGGGCCGACCAGCUGCAAGCUAUACAGAGAUGCCCCGCCGAAGCGCUCGUUUUUAUAGCACGCGCCCGGGGGAUCGGCGGCGGCGGCCCGAAAGAUUCCAAAGGCGUCGUCGCUAGUUCUGGUGGCGUGGGCGGUGGGCGCGCGCGCGGGGAUGCGACGGGGACGUCGCACGCGGGCGCGGGCUUUCGCACGGGGCUUCCUAGCUGGGCGCACGUACGGAGAAGCUUCGGCAGGAGGACACAGCCGCCCCGUUCCGAUUUCCGGAUCGUUGAUUUGUUGCCGCGGUCCCUGGCAGCCACUUUGGGGAUCCGUACGUAACGUGCGUGCGUGGCGGAGGAAAAGGUCUCUGUCCGUCCAUGUCUCCAACUUCCUUGUCUGUGCGGUGGCGCUGGCGGUGUGGGCCUACGUGGCGGCGGCUGCGGCUGCGGCAAGAGGCGGGAGCCCGUGUAAAUAACGUUACGUCACAUUCGAAAAUUAUUACUACGAGUCUACAACCAGGAGUAUACGUGACGACGAAUUCAAGUAAGGGCUAGUUUAUUAACCGCUCGUGCCGUCGAUCAGUGAUUUUGUCUUAGACAUCCAAGUAGCAACACGUGAUCAUCUAGUCACCGCGCCUUGGAUGCUUGCACACUAAUAAUAAUUUGCUCGGUAGUGGGACACGCAUGUGUUUCCAAUUUCGUUGAAAAUUUUGCAAUUUCUCUAUCCUAAAACAUAGCUACUUUUAUAUUUAUUUUAAGUCUGGUGGAACUUCAUUGUGGCCAAAGGGGACAUGGCUCCUGAUUUAGAAACUUUCCUUUACAAAAGAGUAUUUUUCACCGGAGAUUAUCUAACAAAAGCAUCAAUUUCACUAUGAUUAAUUUCUUAGGUUGGUCCCCCAAUAUUUUCCUAAUUUCACUAUGGUUAAUUUCUUAGGUGCCCGAUAUGUUCCUCAAGCUCCGCCUCUACCUCUAGGUUUGGCUACAUUUAUAGAAAAAUUAACAAAUAAGUAUAUCAUUAAAAAAUAUAUCUCAUGAUUGAAUCUAUUAUGCGUGUCAUAGAUUUGGAUGCGUUCUUUUAUCAAUUUUGAUAAAAUUUAAGAUAAUUUGAUUUAAAACAAGCCUAAGAGCAACUCCAAGAGCUCCCUUAAAUUACCCCUAAAACCUUAAAUAGGGAAAAUUGGGAAAAAAAAGUUGCUCCAACAGUUCCCCUAAACCUCCCGCAAAUUUGCGUGUACCCGCAUUCGCUACUUUUUUCCCCGUAAAUAUGCGCGGUGCACUUCCUUCCCCAAUCCGUUCCGCGCGCGUCCGCGAUAGACACUGGCGCCCUUUUUUCCUCCCCGCGCGCCAUUUUUUCCCGUGCGGCGGCGCUGGACUUCCUGAGCGGUGGCGGUGGCGGCGUUCCCCGAGCGACGGCAGGCCCCGAGCGGCGGCGGCGCCCGGCCUUCCCCGAGUUGCGGUGGCGGCAGGUCUUCCCCGACCGGCGACAGCAGGUCUUCCCCUGCGGCGGCGGCAGGUAUUCUCCUGCGGUGGUGCCUGGUGUUCCCCACAGGCGGCGCUUGGUGUUCCCCUGCAGCGGCGCGUGGUGUUCCCCUGCUGCAGCGCCUGGUGUUCCUCCAGACCAAGGGACAGUGACAGGGAGCACUGCUCAGGUGGCUCGUCCUUUGCCUAGUGCUGAAGCUGCCGAAGAGGGAGCCCUGCUUCUGAUUCGGCGCAAGAACAAGAUGGUUUGCUUCAGGUCUGCUUAUUUGCUAAAGCCUAACGAUUAUCCGGUGGUUAGGUGUUUUAGACGUUGGAUUCAAUACCAUCUUGUGGUUGCUGCGAUAUUAUCCUAAAUUGUGCUAUGUUUGUUGGCCCUCUCUGGAAUGUUUGCAAGGAUGAACUUGAGCAGCCUCUAAAAUUGUUUUCUUGCAUCAGAUCCAUGCUUGGGGAUGGUUACCCUAGUAUGUCAUAUCUUGUGCAGAAGUCUUGCUAGAGAAGAGAAGUAUGAACUGCAAGGCACAUCAUAGACCUGGUAGUUGAAGCCAUGUGCUGUGUAUGCUCCAUAUCAUGUCUUCUGGUAGCUGAAGUUAAAUGUAAAUAUAAUUGUGUUUUGAAAAUCCAUAAGUUCCUACUAGAUUUGGAAAUGUACAUUGCCUGGCGCCAUCCUGUCCCAAAUGAACGGCCUUUCUAGUAGCGAGACCUUCAGGUGCAGUGAAAACGACGGUAAUCAUUACUCUUAUCCAUGGUUCACUCGGAGGAUCCAGGACGCACGCCUGCCUGCGGCACGCGCGCAGGGGCACGCGUCAAUCGUCCGUUCGCAAGGGGGUGGCGGCCGGCGUCAGUCGUCCGUCGUCAGUUUGCAGGGGCGGCGGCGUGAGACCUCCGUGCGCACAGGCACCGGAGUGAUAGGAUGCCAGAGGAGUAUUUUGACGGGGCACUGGACACGGUACUGGAGAAAAAAAAUUAACUGAUUUUAAUGGACCAAUUCGAUGACGUGACCUGUUUUGAAUUAUUGGGGAGUAGUUUUUUAGCGAUCUGCUGUGGGCUGAUAUGUUUUUGGGGGAAAUAUUUUUUUAGCAUAGCUCCCAAUACCUCAUUUUGAGAAAGAAUUUUUUGAGGAGCUCUUGGAGUUGCUCUAAAAGUAAUACUUCAUGCACCCGGAGUAGUAUGGCUGCAUGAGACAACUAGGAAGAACGUCCACCGCGCCCGUAGGCAGGCGCGCCGCGGCGACCUCGGCCCCGGCGGCGGAGGAGGCAGGCGCGGCGCGGCCACCUCGGGCUCGGUCCCGGCGGCGGCGGAGGCAGACGCGGCGCGGCCAGAUCGGCCCCGGCCCCAGCGGCGGAGGCGGCAGGCGUGGAGGCCGGCUCGGCCACCUCGGCCCCAGCCCUGGCGGCGGCGGAGGCGGGCGGCGCGGCUCCCUGGGCCGGCGCGACCCCGAUGGAGCGAGCCGGCGGCCCCAAGCGGCGCGAGUGGCCAGGUGGCUCCACCCCGGCGGCAAGGCCGACCGGCUCCGACCCCUUCGGCGGACACAGCGGUGCGGCGGCGGCGUAGCGGUGCGGUCCCGUCGGCGCGGUCGGCCGGCUCCGGCCCCAGCGGCGGGGACGGGCAGCGCGGGCCCCCAGCAGCAGGGGCAGCGCAGGCGGGCGGGCGAAGCAGGUGACGGCGAUUUUUUCCUGAUGCUUGAAGGACGUCGCAGCGCCAUCCUCUUGAGGCGGUUCAUGGCGGAGAAGUGCUUGAGCCUGGAGAGGACGGCGGGGUCGAGGGGCCGGUCCGGGGCGACGCCAUUCUCGCAGAUCCACGGGUGGCAGAGGACCUGGUGCGCGGUGAGGCGAUCGGCGGGGGGCGAGCGCAGCAUGCGGCGGAUGAGGUCCUUGGCGCUGUCGGAGAUGGCGGGCCACGGCUCGGAGUCGAAGUCGGUAGUGCCCCGGAGGACGGCGUCGAAGAUGCCCUGCUGCGUCUCGGCCCAGAAGGGCGGCACCCCGCUGAGGAUGUCGAUGAUGACCCCCCGCCGUCCCCACGUCCGCCUCCGGGCCGUAGUGCUUGCAGAGCACAUCGGGGGCGACGCAGUAGGGGGAGGCCACGACGUCGGUGAAGACCUGCCCGGGCUUGAAGAAGACGGAGAGGCCGAAGUCGAUGGCCUUGAGCUCCGCCUCGUCGUUGUCUCCGUCCUUGCCGUCGUUGUUCCUGAGCAGCAGGAAGUUCUCGGGCUUGAGGUCCCGGUGCAUGACCCCGAGGGAGUGGCAGGCCUCGACGACGCCGACGCCGACGCGCGCGAUCUUGGAGGCCUUGCGCUCGGAGAAGUAGCCGCGGUCAACGAUGCGGUCGAAGAGGUCGCCACCCUCGCAGAGCUCCAUGACGAUGUGGACGUAGAGCGGGUCGUCGUAGGCGCCCUUGAUGGAGACGACGCCGGCGUGGCCGGCGAGGUGGUGCAUGAUGUGGGCCUCGCGGCGCACGUCGUCGACGUCCUCGGGGGUGAGCAUAUGAAGUCAUUUUUUUUGUAAGUUGUUGCAGGGGAAACUUAUUUGUCGUGGAGGCACCGACGAUGCCUCCGCCGCGUGCGAGGCCUGGGCGGCGUCAUUGUUUUCGGCAAGCGAGCUGGACGGUAAAAACGGGACACGCGUCAAGGACUGAUAGGAUUGAAGCGCUGAGGCUCUCCGAGCCCUCCAAAUCUUACAGCGGUAUAGAUACGUAGACAUGGACGCUCACGAGAGACCGGCGCUGCCUGCCUUCCUGAUGCCUGCCCAGCCCAGCCAGAAGACGACCCGGAGGAUACUGGAUACAUGCACUCUACUACGCAGGCUCCACACACCCGGCCGGCCGGUCAGCUGUUGCAGCGGCCACCAACAUGGAAACAUCUACCGCUCGGUCACGCCGCGGUUCCAACGGACAAGGUAACGGUUGAAUACGUCGUGUGGCUGACCUUGCUAUUUGUGUGUGUGUGGUGGCGCUGCUUCGUGAGACAUUUUGUGGACGGCUACACCUACACGCGUGUAACCUGCCCUGCCCUACGAUUGAUCGAUCCCCACUCCCCAGUCUCUCUGGCCAGCGUAAAGGGGUGUUUGAUACAAGAUGCUAAACUUUAGCAAGGUUACGUCGGAUGUUCGGAUGCUAAUUAGAAAAACUAAACAUAACUAAUUGCACAGAUGGAGUCUAAUUCGCGAGAUGAAUCUAUUAAAGCUAAUUAAUCCAUCAUUAGCAAUGGUUACUGUAGCACCAUAUUGUCAAAUCAUGGACUAAUUAGGCUUAAUAGAUUCGUCUCGCGAAUUAGACUCCAUCUAUGCAAUUAGUUUUAUAAUUAGAUUAUAUUUAAUACUUCUAAUUAGUAUCCAAACAUUCGAUGUGAAAAGUGUUAAAGUUUAGCGGGGUGUAUCCAACGGCCCCUAAAGAGGCCGGCCGGGUCUUGGCUGCACUGGUCUGGGUGCGCCCUGCCCUAUCGAUCGCUGCCAGAGCAAAUUGCUCGCGCCGUUCGCUGUUCUUAGGCUGCGGGCACAUGGUCGAUUGUCGAUACCUCUGGCCAGUGGCUACGUGGAAGUUUCGACAUCGUUUUUAGGUCAGGUCAUGGCAGUACGACUGACGACGCCGACUACUCCUGUGUAAGGUCACCGUCUCUUCGAGCUUGUGUUUGAUCUUUAGUCCGGUCUAAAAUUCAUGUCACGAGGCUAAUUAGGAGAACUAAACAUGAGCUAAUUAUAAAACUAAUUACAUAAAUGGAGGUUAAUUCACGAGACGAAUCUAUUAAGCCUAAUUAGUCCAUCAUUAGCACAUAUUUACUAUAGCAUCACAUUGUCAAAUCAUGGACUAAUUAGGCUUAAUAGAUUCGUCUCGCAAAUUAAUCUCCAUCUGUGCAAUUGGUUUUAUAAUUAAUUUAUGUUUAAUGCUCCUAAUUAGUAUCUAAACAUUCGAUGUGAUAUGAAUUUUAGGAGCGAAGACGUGCACGCCAACCGGUGCUCAAAUGAAUGCUCAGGUUGAAUCUGCAACCGUACAUUGACGCAGUCGACGAGCCGACGAACCGUUCGUUUCGACGAAAAACAGAGGAUGAGGUUGUACCAGUACGAACAUGGCAGAGUAUGAUGGAACUGCAACUGCCCGUCUGCCCGGACCAAACGGAACGUACCUGCGUGGGAAACACAGUGCUCAGUUGGAGUAGCCACGCCCCCACGCAGAGGAAACCAAAGACGUCGCGUCAGCGUGCUCUGCGGUUCGGACAGCGAUCGGUGAUCACAGAAGCUUCUAUCUUGCUUGUCCAGGCGACAGGAGCUCGUCGCAGUUGCUCUGCCUCUGAGGCUCUGAUGCCGAAUUGGCUGCCUGCCUUCCAACUCGCAGCCUCCAAUCUUCCAGGAAGGCGUUGUCGAUGUGACCGAGUGGGGCAUGCAUACUAGCUAUGUGUUUGAUGUGGAUCCUUGCCCACUACCCUGCGCUAGUUUUGGUUCGUGCGUCUCGAUCCCGUUCUAAUCAGUGGACAGCAGAUAAGCGUAUGCCCAGGUGACGUUGAUUCGAAGGACACUGCUCCCUUUGGCGUCCCUGUCCGGUUGAUUCGCUAUGUUUCCCACACAAUCCACUGCUGCAGACUUGUUGUAGAUUUGCACCUCAACUCCAAGCACGCACUAUUCUGUUCGGAACCUGCCAGGAACAUAGACAAUGGCUCGUUUUCAUGCGAGUCGCAUUCCCGUAUUUGCCCAGUUGCCCACAGGAUCCAGGGCGCCAGCAAGUCAAGGUGAAAGCUAGCUUGUAGUGGGCAUGCAUUUCUGAGUUGAAAGGGGAUGCACCCAACCCCAAACACACAGAACGGUCGUCUGAAGCUGCAAACAGUGAGAUGGAUGUCUUCGACGCCCUUAGCUUGCGUCACCAGGAAACCGACGUAUCCUCUGUAGAGUACGAUAGUUCGGUGCACCAUCACACCACGGGGAAAAAGUGCUUAUAUAUGCUAAACUCGAUUGAACCUUAAACAUAGUGCACGUAACCCUUUUCUCGUCAUGGCCUGAUGCAUUUUCUCGACCUUUUCCCAGUCCCAUAUCUUGGUCCUUCCUCGUAAAACAUUUUGGUUCACUCGAAUUCCGCCUGAUGAGGAGAAUCAGGGUGAAUGUUUCUACAGUUUAUCCAGUAGUAAUCCUGUAGAUCAUAAACCAUGUAGCCGCAGUCGAGCCUGCAUGCGCCAAUGGAAGUGAGCAACCAUGUCAUGCCACUCUUAAGUCUUAAGCAUCAGGCAUGCGUAAUGCAUGCGUUUCUGUGGCACCGCAGAGUCAUCCAGCAGACCAGCACGAGUGUUUAGCCGUGCCAAUUGUCAGUGGAUCGUGCUUCUCAAAAUGGGAAGGAGAAAAGCAGAUCGAGUCAGAUAUUCCCAUCAUCCACCGCGAGCGUUGAGAAAGGUCGACCAGUCUGCUGUCUGCACAUGACGCCGUCGAAUGAAACAGGCUUCAUUAUUUCAUUAAUCACCAAGUGUCCAAGCAUAUGGUGUUUCAGAAGAGCGACUGAUUCGCUUAGCUCCCGUCAAACAAGCACAACAAAGUCCCCUGAUAAUCUCGUGUGGGGAGGCUGUUUAGGUUUAGCCAUCCUGCCUGCUGGGGUUUAAGUCAAGUUACCUCACUUUAGAGUCGGCCUCUUUCUUUAAUGGUGAAUCCUAAAGUAUUUGUCCUCUUUAUAUUUUGUUCCUGAAAUAUCAAGAGCAUUGCAGAUUAGCUAUGCCAUUUCAUCAGCCAAUGUUUAACGCCCUAAUUACUUAGCUGCCUUUUCACUCAUUCAACCACAUUUUCCUUUUGUUGUGUAGCCCCUUGUAAAGUCGUAAGUCUAGGUUUAGGAUUAGUCUCCCCGGCGAUCCAAGCACGUGCGCAUUUGAGAGGCUCAGCAUCAGCCUUCAACCCAUACACUGCAUUGGCGCGCAACGACAUGCGUCCGUAGCUUUCAGCAACGUGUACUCCCAUCCGUUUGUCGACUGAAGCCUUAUUUGAGAGGGAUGGGCUAAACUUUAGACCUGUCACAUCGAAUGUUCGGAUGUUAAUUAAGAGGAGUAAAUAUGAGCUAAUUACAAAACUAAUAGCAGAACUGCUAGCCUAAAUCGCGAGACGAAUCUAUUAAGCCUAAUUAAUCCAUCAUUAGCGAAUGGUUACUGUAGCAUCACGUUGUUAAAUCAUGAACUAAUUAGGUUUAAUAGAUUCAUCUCGCGAUUUAGCUUAGGAACUGUGCAAUUAGUUUAGUGAUUAGCCUAUAUUUAAUACUCCUAAUUAAUGUCAAACAUUCGAUGUGACAGGAGCUAAAGUUUAGCCUCUCACUCCCAAACACCCCUUUCGUUUGUGGGCUGUGUUGCUUCACGGUACAUCUUCCGCUGUCAUGUCACGUCAUGCAGAAUUACAAAUGGCGGUGGAGAUGCAUGCCGGCAUACUAAUCACAGCAGUACGACGACAGAGACAAUCAUGGUGAGGAGAAUGAUCUGUCUCGGCGAAAAUUCCAUUGGAAACGUUUCUGAACCUUCUCGCCACCGGCACAGCAAGAUCCGGGCCGGGAAGGAUGUCACAGUCAAAUGCGAUUCACGUACAAUUCCUGGAAACAAGGUCAGGAAUGCAACUUCGCUUCUACAAGAAUUACAUCGAUGCAAUACCCGGAGUUUAGACCACACAAACCAACCACAGACAAGGAAUUCGAACGUGAUCAUUCAACUGGAAAUGCGCACGUUCAACCAGGGCAGGGAACAGCGAUAAGCCUGCAUCAACGAGAGCUCAACGCAUUUGAGGUCAACAAGUUACAACCGGACGAAUACAACCGAGGCUAGGAGUUUGACCUUUCACAGGCCACAUCCUGAAUCGUCUACCUCCGUGCAUUCUUAUUGCCCAAACCAAGAAACAGGGCUCGCAAAGAAGAAGAAAACACCGUCGCUAAAUAUAGUACAAUCGCUACAAAAGCAAGAGUUGGAUGACUGAAGUCUGGAACAAUAGUGUACAUUGUGAAAACUAAAAGAAUGCCUGCCCCAGCAUCACUUAAAAAGAAUGCCUGCUCGGCAUCACUCGAAAAGAAUGCCACAAUCAAUAAGCAAAAUCUGGAAGGGACGAGGAUGAUGACUAACUACUAGCAUGCACAUCCGCUUCUCGGUUCAGUCUCCGGGACCGGAUCCGCAACAGCCUGGAAGUAGCUGAAGAGCAGACAGACGGGUGUAAAUCAAUAGCUAAAUAGGAAAAUUAGCAUCUGUGCAGGAGCUGUUUCAUCUUGCUGAAACAAUGUAACGAAAUAUAACAAAAACCAACGAUGUACAUAUGCGAUUCUGCUCUAAUACAAAGUGUUCCCUUGUUCUGUGUUCCCUUAACCAUCUGUUUUCAGAUAUGUUAAGGGUGAUACAUCUGCUCUAAUACAUAUGUUGUUUCAUCUUGCAUGAAUCAACUAGUGAACAAAGCGUAUCUGUUCCUAGAUACCUAUGUCAAGUUGUCAGCAGAGAGCAAAACUAAUAUGGGUCAUCUUUCUGGAUGUUCACAGAGGUAGCUUCUUUAGUGUAGAAUGUUCCAUCAUUAUAACCUACUAGUUUUCCUUUGUCUACAGAAAAGUUCAUCAAUAGCAUCUACAACAUAAAGAGAUAUCACUAAGACAGCAAAGAAUAGCUAUGCACAUAUAGAACCUUAUUCAUUAACAAUAAAGCUUGUAAAAUGUUAGACUGGGAGAGAAAGCAUACAAACGAGUUAAAUAGGACUUCCAGACCAUCUACAUGUAUUGCAGAAUAUCUAAAAGCUAGCUAAACAAAAAACUAUUUUUUUUAAAGCAGAAACAGUAGGUGAGUCCCUACUGUGGUAUUAUAUUAAAUAAAUAAGAAGAAAGAGAAAACUAUACAAGGGCAGAAGCUCAACAUAAAAAUAAAACACUGUACAGCAAGAAGAGAAAACUAAACAAAAUGCUAUCCACAAAUUAUUUUUGACAGAUUGAAGAAUAGUAGCAACCAGUAAAUUAGAGCCAAGGUUGCACAAAAUGGGUGGGGUGUAUAAAAUCUUGCACAGGAAAGGACUAAUGAGCUUAGUUAAAAAUAAGACUUAAAAAAAAUGCAGUGCAGCUGGGAACAAGUCUGGUCAUAUAUAUUAACAACACAUGCUUUUACUCCAAGGAUUGAAUGAGCUCCCUACCAAACAACAAACUAAGGAGGAUGAAAUUACUCACAUGUCCUGAUCACGUUCAUGCUCUAGAGCAAGCUUGGCAACAGAGAGGAAUGCAUUGUCAACAUUGUAGUCCUCUUUUGCAGAAGUUUCAAAGUAAGGAAUGUUGCCUUUGGAAGCACACCACUCCAUUGCUUUCUUCUCAGAAACCUGUGAGAAACAUAAUAAUCAAGUAUUGGCAUAUCGAGACAUAAGUUACAAAUCAUCAUGUAAUAACAAAACUAACCACUCUGCUUUUUCCACCAUCUACAUCGAUCUUGUUACCAAGCAAGAUGAAGGGGAAAGUUUUAGGAUCUGAUGGGCUAGCCUGAAAAGAAAUGAAAAUAACCUUGUCAAGAAUCAAGAUGGAUGAGAUGCAAUAGAAAUACACAUUUAGUAUCUGGCUAUAAGAGAUACAAAUGUUACAGUAUCCGGAUUCAGAUAUUAUUACAUCACAACAACCAGAUCCCCAGAUAAAACAUACUAAAACAUAAGGUGGUUUUCCAUUCCACUCAACAACUACAGUAAAAUCGAUUAAGGCCAUCAUUGCAUAUAUAUAAAAUGUCUAAGAGUUCCAGGAUAGCUAACAAAGUUAACAAGCACAAAUAGUACCUUAGUUGUUACAGCAUAACAUGAAUUGCAAGCAAGAUACAGAAUACAGCAAGCUGCGAACUGCAGAAUUAUCAAAGCUUCCUGUUCUAAUAUAGCAGAACGAGUUUAUGUCAUGGAUUACAAUUCAAAAUGGCAAAAACUACGCUUUAUGAUUCUGUUGCAUUGUUUUAUCAUGCAUUAAUGAAUUCUUGACUGGAUAUACACAACUCAUAGAAAAUAGCCGACAAUUUAACAAGAACAUAACUGUAUCAAUAUGUCAUUAGAGACGUAGACUACAAUCAUGUCAUCAUAGUAACAGUACUUUAGGACGCCAAUAGUUACUUGACACAUCUGUUUGCUAUUUCAACAUUCAUUUGUUUGCUAGUUAUGCACCAAGGUAGAAGCUCAAUCAGUACAACUAAAGAAUCCCAAUAGUCAGAAUGUCAGCACUGCCAAAGUUCAAGAAGAAAACUGAACUGCCAAAGUAAUAGUUCAGAGCGAACUACCAAAGUAACAGUAGUGAGCACAGACUGUUGUUCCUGCCUGAACACAUCCUCACAGUCAAGCGAUCGCAAGACACGGACAGGAGUAAAAACUAUAUGAUCUAGGCUAAUCCAUUUUUAGCCAAAUAUGAUCAGCUAUUUAAGAGUAAGGUAUUUUAGAAUGAAAAUGACAUACAGUUCAUGGUAUAAAAAAUUGUAAUCACCAACCCACAAUAUUUGGUAGUAAGCUCGACACACCAAUACUCAUGUAAGAAUUUUUGAAACUUCAUAUGGAUUGAAUAGAUUAAAAUCAAUUAAGGAAAUUUGUAUCAGAUUCCAUAGGCAUACAAUUUCAAACUUCAAGAAGAUUUUCCUCUCUUUCCUUUGUGUUCUGUUUAGAUCAGACUUCAAUGCAAAAUUCGGUCUUAUCUGUUAACUUCUACUCAACUAGGAGAGAUAAUUCAUAGAUAUCACCAGAAUUUUUAGAACCAUCAAAUAUACUUAUUCCGUUAAAAAUGUUGAUAAUUCGUUUAUAGGGUUCCUUGCAGCUUAUAUGUGUUCAAAACAUGGUAGGUUGAGAGUGGGAAAAUCGAGAGGAAAAAAUGACAGCAUAAAAUGAGUUAAACAUAUGCUGCAAAUUCAAAAUUCAUAAAACACUAGGCAAGGCUAACUUCAACAUAUUUUCAAACACCUAUAAUUAAAAAACCAUGCAGAUAUGUGCGCAUACUCAAGCUUCACAAAACUAUUGGCAACAUCACAUCAAGCUGUCAGCUUGUAAAAUACUGUCGAGAUGAUAAAUGAUGAAAUGCACUAAGAUUGAUACCUAUCUUUUCUCAAUAACUAUCUUUUCCGAAACCACUACAGGAAAUAUCUAUAACUGUGAUCAAAUAUCACAAUAAUUCGUAAGAUAAGACAUUCUUACUUGGUUGAGGAACUCAUCAUGCCACGUGUUGAGUGUAUCGAAUGACCUGUUAGAGUUGACAUCAUAGACGAGCACACAACAAUCUGCCCCUCUAUAGAAUGCAACACCAAGACUCUGGAAUCUCUCCUGCCCCGCGGUGUCCCAGAUCUAGGAUGAAAGCAACACGUGACCACAACAGCAGCAGCAGCAGCAGCAUCUCCCUUCUCUUUGAGAAAGCUCACCAACUCAGGGAGACAAAGUGGCACUCACCUGCAACGUGACUAGCCUGUCUUCAAUGAGAACCUCCUUUGUGACGAAAUCUGCACCAAUUGUAGCUUUGUACUGCUGGCUGAACUUUUUGUGGACAUAUCUAGCUGAAAGUCAAGAACAUCAUAGCACCCAAAGUACAAAAGAUGCCCAACAUUUUAGAUACAUUGGAUACGUCAUGAUACUCGAUUCUUCUAGCAUUUGCAUCAUCUUAACCUCAAUUCACAUACUGGAAUCAGAAUGAUCGAAUGUACCAGAGCUUUCAGAACGAGAUUCACAGAAUCAGGGGUCACCCUGACGCACAGCACAACGAAUGAAAUAGUAGUAUGAAAAUGCAGUUAAACAGUUAUUGACUGCAAGUGAGAGCUCACAGAAAUCCAAAUUUCCAGACCCCUAAACUAAGUGAUGCGUUCCUACAACAAAUCCACUGAAUUGGGACCAACUUCACGGACAUCAAACUGGACCUAAUUACCGAAC